rnacentral:tRNA from 1 species
GGGGUUGUGGCUCAGUGGCAGAGCACUUGCCUAGCAUGUGCAAGGCACUGGGUUCAAUUCUCAGCACCA